rnacentral:lncRNA from 1 species
ACGGUGAAGAGGGAAGCAUUGGUCUUGGGAGUGUCAAUAAGAAUGGCGGCGUGAGUUUUCUAAUUAUAUAAUUAAAAUAAGUUAUUUCCAGUUGCAUAGUUCCAUUAUUGUUGUUGCAAGUCAUAGAAAGUUGAGUGAAUUAAAGUGACGGAAUAAUGAAACUGUAAGAAAAAGGAUCUCACACCGCCAUUCGGGAGAAAUCUAUUAUUACCGCUGGUAAACCCUCCCUAACACGGAGAGCAGACACUUCCAAGAUUCAGUCAACCAGGGAACAAGUCUAAGGAUACAGUCCCAUUUGUUUUGUUUUGGUUCAUCAUCCUGCACCCUCCGAGGGACAGGUUCAUUAGCUAUUGGGCAGUUGCACCACUUCGGUGUUAACUUCGUACCACGGAUUUGGUACCACACACCAAGGAUCAGUGUUGGAACGCGUGAAAAGGGGUUUGUUUUGGGGGACAAUUAUUCAUACUAGUUAAAGACUUAUACUGUUUUUUUUUGUAAUAUUCAGGACAUUUAAGUUAGAUACACAUAAGUUCAUAAUUU